ACCUAGGCGACGAUCCCUAGCUGGUCUGAGAGGAUGACCAGCCACACUGGAACUGAGACACGGUCCAGACUCCUACGGGAGGCAGCAGUGGGGAAUAUUGCACAAUGGGCGCAAGCCUGAUGCAGCCAUGCCGCGUGUAUGAAGAAGGCCUUCGGGUUGUAAAGUACUUUCAGCGGGGAGGAAGGGAGUAAAGUUAAUACCUUUGCUCAUUGACGUUACCCGCAGAAGAAGCACCGGCUAACUCCGUGCCAGCAGCCGCGGUAAUACGGAGGGUGCAAGCGUUAAUCGGAAUUACUGGGCGUAAAGCGCACGCAGGCGGUUUGUUAAGUCAGAUGUGAAAUCCCCGGGCUCAACCUGGGAACUGCAUCUGAUACUGGCAAGCUUGAGUCUCGUAGAGGGGGGUAGAAUUCCAGGUGUAGCGGUGAAAUGCGUAGAGAUCUGGAGGAAUACCGGUGGCGAAGGCGGCCCCCUGGACGAAGACUGACGCUCAGGUGCGAAAGCGUGGGGAGCAAACAGGAUU
rnacentral:rRNA from 1 species